UACGAAGGGGGCUAGCGUUGCUCGGAAUUACUGGGCGUAAAGCGCACGUAGGCGGCUCUUUAAGUCGGGGGUGAAAUCCUGGAGCUCAACUCCAGAACUGCCUUUGAUACUGGCAACCUAGAGGCUGGAAGAGGUUAGUGGAAUUCCCAGUGUAGAGGUGAAAUUCGUAGAUAUUGGGAAGAACACCAGUGGCGAAGGCGGCUAACUGGUCCAGAUCUGACGCUGAGGUGCGAAAGCGUGGGGAGCAAACAGG
rnacentral:rRNA from 1 species